rnacentral:tRNA from 1 species
AUCUUUAUAGUACCAACUUAGUACAAGUGACUUCCAAUCACCCGGUCUUGGUUAAAGCCCAAGUAAAGAUA